AAUUCGAAGCAACGCGAAGAACCUUACCAGGUCUUGACAUCCCGAUGCUAUUUCUAGAGAUAGAAAGUUACUUCGGUACAUCGGUGACAGGUGGUGCAUGGUUGUCGUCAGCUCGUGUCGUGAGAUGUUGGGUUAAGUCCCGCAACGAGCGCAACCCCUAUUGUUAGUUGCCAUCAUUCAGUUGGGCACUCUAGCGAGACUGCCGGUAAUAAACCGGAGGAAGUGGGGAUGACGUCAAAUCAUCAUGCCCCUUAUGACCUGGGCUACACACGUGCUACAAUGGUUGGUACAACGAGUUGCGAGUCGGUGACGGCGAGCUAAUCUCUUAAAGCCAAUCUCAGUUCGGAUUGUAGGCUGCAACUCGCCUACAUGAAGUCGGAAUCGCUAGUAAUCGCGGAUCAGCACGCCGCGGUGAAUACGUUCCCGGGCCUU
rnacentral:rRNA from 1 species